rnacentral:rRNA from 1 species
GAUGAACGCUGGCGGCGUGCCUAAUACAUGCAAGUCGAGCGAAUGGAUUAAGAGCUUGCUCUUAUGAAGUUAGCGGCGGACGGGUGAGUAACACGUGGGUAACCUGCCCAUAAGACUGGGAUAACUCCGGGAAACCGGGGCUAAUACCGGAUAACAUUUUGAACCGCAUGGUUCGAAAUUGAAAGGCGGCUUCGGCUGUCACUUAUGGAUGGACCCGCGUCGCAUUAGCUAGUUGGUGAGGUAACGGCUCACCACGGCAACGAUGCGUAGCCGACCUGACAGGGUGAUCGGCCACGCUGGGACUGAGACACGGCCCAGACUCCUACGGGAGGCAGCAGUAGGGAAUCUUCUGCAAUGGACGAAAGUCUGACGGAGCAACGCCGCGUGAGUGAUGAAGGCUUUCGGGUCGUAAAACUCUGUUGUUAGGGAAGAACAAGUGCUAGUUGAAUAAGCUGGCACCUUGACGGUACCUAACCAGAAAGCCACGGCUAACUACGUGCCAGCAGCCGCGGUAA